rfam:Parcubacteria group bacterium RIFCSPHIGHO2_01_FTLL_47_10b rifcsphigho2_01_scaffold_1920, whole genome shotgun sequence.
GCCGGGGUGGUGAAAUUGGCAGACACGCAUGGUUUAGGACCAUGUGCCGCAAGGCUUGUGGGUUCAAGUCCCUCCCCCGGCA